CCGCAUUAGUGAUUGCAGCGGCAUCCUUUUUUAGGCCGAUGGGAAAGUAAAGUAUUAAAAACAUCUAUGAUGUUCUGGGCAUAAAAAAGAUAUAGCGGAAAGCACGGCCACUU
rnacentral:sRNA from 1 species